AAGCUUACUUUUUUAUAUCUCUCCUUUGAUUGGAUAUCAAACAAGUCUUUUGAUUGGACAGCGAACCUUAAGGAAAUGUUGUUUUUCAUUCCGAUUACUCUCAAAACUCCGUUUACAGGAACACAAAAAACAUAUUUGCUAUAAGUUUUCUAUAAAUACAUUGCGGAACUCUAAAUCACACAAAAACGAUCUACUCUGCUCAGACAUUAAGGACUACUCCCAAGAGUUCAUUUAAGGAUGAUUUUUUUUGCAAUUUUGAUUAUGCUGGUUUCAAUUGAGCUAUUCAAAACGCAAGGACCACGCUCUGGAGUAAAAGAAGACAACAUAAAAGGUUUAAAAACAAGCACAAAACACUUUAAUGAAUGUAAUAAUUGUAGCGAUGAUAAGUUAAUGCUAUUUAUAAACACUGGGCUCAAAGAUUACCACAAUUUGAAUUUAAAAAACUGCAACAUUUCCAAAAGUAAUUUGAGUGAAUGGUGUAUUCAAAGAUUAAAGAUUAUGUUAAACAAAGCAGAUUCCGUUUGUAAGAUUUUUCCUCAGGAGUGUGAGUGCUUCAAAUUGUGUUACUAAAUGAAAAGAAUUAGUACGCGAUGUUUAAGUUUUUUGAAUAGUGAACGUUUACCUCCAAACUCUGCAUUUUUAUAUAUAACAACAA
rnacentral:lncRNA from 1 species